rnacentral:rRNA from 1 species
CCUACGGGGGGCAGCAGUGGGGAAUAUUGCACAAUGGGGGAAACCCUGAUGCAGCGACGCCGCGUGAGUGAAGAAGUAAUUCGUUACGUAAAGCUCUAUCAGCAGGGAAGAAACACUGACCUUACGGUCAGCAGACGGUACCUGAGUAAGAAGCCCCGGCUAACUACGUGCCAGCAGCCGCGGUAAUACGUAGGGGGCAAGCGUUAUCCGGAUUUACUGGGUGUAAAGGGCGCGUAGACGGUGGGCCAAGUCUGGAGUGAAAUGCCGCGGCUUAACUGCGGAACUGCUUUGGAAACUGGCGAACUAGAGUGCGGGAGGGGUAAGCGGAAUUCCUGGUGUAGCGGUGAAAUGCGUAGAUAUUAGGAGGAACACCGGUGGCGAAGGCGGCUUACUGGACCGUAACUGACGUUGAGGCUCGAAAGCGUGGGGAGCAAACAGGAUUAGAUACCCCAGUAGUC